rnacentral:piRNA from 1 species
UCUUGUGUGCUGAUAGUGUCAGGGCAAGA